rnacentral:lncRNA from 1 species
UUUAAGUAUUUGAAUCAUCAAAAAUUUACUCAAUGAAAUUAUUUGGCACAUGGGAAGUUGGAGCGCCAAAGAUUAGUGCCCCAUGGUCUCAUGUGACAUCCCUUGGUCCCCUAUUUAUAGGGGAUGCUCCAGAUGGUUUAUUAUGGUGAUUUUUAGUUGAGACCAAGAAGAGGGAUGUGGUAAAUACAAAAAAAACUCUAAAAAAAUUUUAAGAAAAAAAAGAAGAAAUUUUUAGUGGCAAAAGUUGCUACUAGGGUGGUG